UGUCAAAGACCGAAGCUUAACUUCGGGCAGGCGGUGGAAACUGAAGCACUAGAGUACGGUAGGGGUAGAGGGAAUUUCCAGUGUAGCGGUGAAAUGCGUAGAGAUUGGAAAGAACACCAGUGGCGAAGGCGCUCUACUGGACCGUAACUGACACUCAGGGACGAAAGCUAGGGUAGCGAAAGGGAUUAGAUACCCCUGUAGUCCUAGCUGUAAACGAUGGAUACUAGGCGUUGCUUGUAUCGACCCGAGCAGUGCCGUAGCCAACGCGUUAAGUAUCCCGCCUGGGGAGUACGCACGCAAGUGUGAAACUCAAAGGAAUUGACGGGGGCCCGCACAAGCGGUGGAGUAUGUGGUUUAAUUCGAUGCAACGCGAAGAACCUUACCAGGGCUUGACAUCCCGCGAAUCAGAGUGAAAGCUCUGAGUGCCUUCGGGAACGCGGAGACAGGUGGUGCAUGGCUGUCGUCAGCUCGUGUCGUGAGAUGUUGGGUUAAGUCCCGCAACGAGCGCAACCCUCGUCCUUAGUUGCCAGCAUUAAGUUGGGCACUUUAGGGAGACUGCCGGUGACAAACCGGAGGAAGGUGGGGAUGACGUCAAGUCAGCAUGCCCCUUACGCUCUGGGCUACACACGUACUACAAUGGUUGGGACAAAGGGCAGCAAGCUCGCGAGAGUAAGCGAAUCUCAGCAAACCCAGCCUCAGUUCAGAUUGCAGGCUGCAACUCGCCUGCAUGAAGGAGGAAUCGCUAGUAAUCGCAGGUCAGCAUACUGCGGUGAAUCCGUUCC
rnacentral:rRNA from 1 species